AUUCAAUUCAAUGCCUCUCUAUAUAUAAUUCCCCUUAGCUUCAAUUCCCUCUCCACCAUUCCCAUCAAUCUCCUCCUUCUCUCCUAGUGGCGCCACCGCUUUCUUCCACCACUACCUAAUUAAUCAAGAUCGAGUGAUCAUCAUGAGCUGGAAGAAUGCAAGCGGCGCGGCUCCAAAGCUUGAGCUGAAGCUGAACUUGUCGCCGCCGAGGGAGUCGUCGCCGAGCCGGCGGCGGUCGGUGUCGACGUCGCCGCCCAGCUCUUGCAUGUCGUCGGAGAGCCAGGACGACGACGGCGGCAGCGCGGAGGAGGCGACGUCGAUGGUGCUGGUGGGGUGUCCGCGCUGCCUCAUGUACGUCAUGCUUGCGCAAGCCAAGCCGAAUAAGUGCCCUAUGUGCCACACUUCCGUUUUGCUUGAUGUCCUCUUUGACCACACCAAGAAUGCCAGGACUUGAUCAACAAUAUAUAUAUAAUAAUAAUAAUAAUAAUAUAAUAAUCCUUCAUAUUAGGAUCCAGUUUUCUUCCUUUCCUUUUUCGAAUUUUUAGGAUUUCUGUUAGAGCAUCAUAUCAAUGGUUUUUGUAUUAAGAGUAAUUUUUAGGAUUUCUGUUAGAGCAUCAUAUCAAUGUUUUUUGUAUUAAGAGUAAUUUUUAGGAUUUCUGUUAGAGCAUCAUAUCAAUGUUUUUUGUAUUAAGAGUAAUUUUUAGGAUUUCUGUUAGAGCAUCGUAUCAAUGUUUUUUGUAUUGAGUGUAACUCUGUAUCAGGUAUACCAUGUCUGGUUGUAUUAGGUACAAAAGACAUGGAUUAGCUUAAAAUUUUCUUGCUCUGAUCUUAAUUAACUAUUUUACCAUUUGUACCAAGCACUACUAGCUAUAUAGUCAUUUAUAACUUUAA